rnacentral:rRNA from 1 species
AGAGUUUGAUCCUGGCUCAGGAUGAACGCUAGCGACAGGCUUAACACAUGCAAGUCGAGGGGCAGCACGGUGUAGCAAUACAUUGGUGGCGACCGGCGCACGGGUGAGUAACGCGUAUGCAACCUACCUAUCAGAGGGGGAUAACCCGGCGAAAGUCGGACUAAUACCGCAUAAAACAGGGGUCCCGCAUGGGAAUAUUUGUUAAAGAUUAAUUGCUGAUAGAUGGGCAUGCGUUCCAUUAGAUAGUUGGUAAGGUAACGGCUUACCAAGUCUGCGAUGGAUAGGGGUUCUGAGAGGAAGGUCCCCCACACUGGUACUGAGACACGGACCAGACUCCUACGGGAGGCAGCAGUGAGGAAUAUUGGUCAAUGGGCGAGAGCCUGAACCAGCCAAGUAGCGUGAAGGAUGACUGCCCUAUGGGUUGUAAACUUCUUUUAUACGGGAAUAAAGUUAGCCACGUGUGGCUUUUUGUAUGUACCUUAUGAAUAAGGAUCGGCUAACUCCGUGCCAGCAGCCGCGGUAAUACGGAGGAUCCGAGCGUUAUCCGGAUUUAUUGGGUUUAAAGGGUGCGUAGGUGGUUUAUUAAGUCAGCGGUGAAAGUUUGUGGCUCAACCAUAAAAUUGCCGUUGAAACUGGUUAACUUGAGUAUAUUUGAGGUAGGCGGAAUGCGUGGUGUAGCGGUGAAAUGCAUAGAUAUCACGCAGAACUCCAAUUGCGAAGGCAGCUUACUAAACUAUAACUGACACUGAAGCACGAAAGCGUGGGGAUCAAACAGGAUUAGAUACCCUGGUAGUCCACGCAGUAAACGAUGAUUACUAGGAGUUUGCGAUACACAGUAAGCUCUACAGCGAAAGCGUUAAGUAAUCCACCUGGGGAGUACGCCGGCAACGGUGAAACUCAAAGGAAUUGACGGGGGCCC